rnacentral:tRNA from 1 species
GGGCCGAUAGAUUAGCCUAGCAGAUCGUCUGGUUUGCAUAUAUGAGGCCGCGAGUUCAAAUCUCGCUCGGUCUACCA